rnacentral:lncRNA from 1 species
CAGGUGGGGCCGCACCUGCGCGACAGCCCGCCGCUUCCCUCCGCUCCCUUCGCCGCGCCUCGCGUGCUAGCGGUGCCCUUGUGAGCCACUGCGUUCUCCAAGGCCAGAACGGGACAGUUGACGAUGGUCGUACUUCUCCAUGUUCUGAGACCAGUUUAAACAAAAACAAAAACCAGACAACAACCUUGCAAGGGAAAGAAUUCAGAGUAAAUAAACAGUCUUUUUCUGGGAAGUAAAAUAUUUCCCUAAGAUGGAGAAAUUGAGAUGAGAGCUCAUCCACAAGAUUACCCAUCAAUGAGCACCAAUAGCAACCAAAUCCACUAGAAGACUGGGAGCUUUUAAGUCAAGAAACUUACAUCAGUAUCAUCAUUCCAAGAAGCGGUAUCCAAGCUGUUUUAUCGAAAGUGCGCAUGGGAGAUAAGACUCUGAGAAUUUAUAGAAACAAACAUUAGAAGGCAGGAAUGUGGAGAGAAGAAAGCUACCUGACAAGGGAAUCUCAGGAUACAAGGAAAACACCAAGGUGAAGACACUUAAAGAAGGUGACAUAUGACCACAAGAAUUAAGAACAAACAGGGAAACAUGAUAUCACAAGAAAAAAAUAUGAAGCCAGUGACUAACCCUGAAGGGACAGAGAAGAAUGUACUGCCUGACAAAGAAUUCAACAUUUCUAUUUUAAAGAAGGUCAGUAAACUUCAAGAAGAAACAGAGGAACAACCUAGAAAUUUAUUAGAGAUAUUUAACAGAAAAAUUAAUUUAACAGAAAAAUUAAAAUAAUAAAAAAAUUAAAACAUAUUAUAGAGCUGAAAAAUAUAAUAAAUAAAUACAAUAGAAAGCAUUAACAGCAGAAUUGAUCUAUCAAAAUAAAGAACCUGAAUGCAAAGACAGGUUAGGUUAUUUGAAAAUACACAUACAAGGAAGAAUAAAGAAAAAA